rnacentral:rRNA from 1 species
UAGAUACCCUGGUAGUCCACGCCCUAAACGAUGUCAACUAGUUGUCGGGUCUUCAUUGACUUGGUAACGUAGCUAACGCGUGAAGUUGACCGCCUGGGGAGUACGGUCGCAAGAUUAAAACUCAAAGGAAUUGACGGGGACCCGCACAAGCGGUGGAUGAUGUGGAUUAAUUCGAUGCAACGCGAAAAACCUUACCUACCCUUGACAUGUAUGGAAUCCUGCUGAGAGGUGGGAGUGCCCGAAAGGGAGC